GGUGGAGGGUGUACGUACUCUUUCGCCGCUUGUUUGCAUAAAAUCUCAGCAUUUAAACAUCAAAUCCAAGUUUUUAUCAAAAUUUUCAAUAACCCGGAAUUGAACUGUGAUAAACUUAAGGUGUAUAGCGUAAAAUUUAAUUGAAUAUUAGCGUGCACUGUUCUCUGUUCAAAAGGUAGACUAGGUCGAAAGUGUUUUCGGAUACAAAAAGUGAAUUGCCCCAUCGGAUUAGUUUUCAAACAACGUGUAACGUGCGUGAGAAUUUAUCGUGUCUCGGUGAACAAGAGCUCGUCGAUUGAAUAAAACAGGACCGUCACAAAAAAACUUCAUUUUGACAUUUACGCAGUUUCGUGUUUUUCCGUUCUGAUACGUUUACAUAUUAUAUUCAAUCAAUCCGUAUGAACUAAACUGAGUAUAAUGAUUGCCAGGCUAAGUUAAACACCCCCUUUUCUUUCGGUUGGGAUUUGAUGGCUGUUGCGGGGCCAAGUUGCCACUCCAGGGUGUCCAUGUCCGUCUCCAUGAUGCAGGGUACAGCAGGUCCCACAACGAGGAGCCAACAAGGGGGCUUGCAUGCAGCCCAGCCGUACUAUCACCCGCAGUACGCGGCUGCACCGGCUCAUACACAGGAACAGGUUCAACCGGAUAGGCCCAUCGGCUACGGAGCCUUUGGAGUUGUCUGGGCGGUGACGGAUCCAAGAGACGGUAGGAGAGUGGCGUUGAAAAAGUUACCAAACGUUUUCCAUUCUUUAGUAUCUGCGAAACGAGUGUUUAGGGAAUUAAAAAUGCUGUGUUUUUUCAAACACGAGAACGUACUUUCUGCGUUAGAUAUACUUCAGCCUCCACACUUAGACUUCUUCCAAGAAAUAUAUGUAAUCACAGAAUUACUUCAGAGCGAUCUACAUAAAAUUAUAGUUUCUCAUCAGCCACUUUCGUCGGAUCACAUAAAAGUUUUCAUGUACCAAAUACUUAGAGGUUUGAAAUAUUUACAUUCAGCUAGGAUAUUACAUCGGGACAUUAAACCUGGAAAUCUAUUAGUAAACAGCAACUGCGUAUUAAAGAUAUGUGAUUUCGGCUUAGCACGAGUUGAAGAACCUGACUCGUCCAAGCUGAUGACCCAGGAAGUGGUCACUCAGUAUUAUCGGGCACCAGAAAUCCUCAUGGGUGCGAAACACUACACCGCUGCGGUCGACGUAUGGGCAGUGGGUUGUAUAUUUGGAGAACUGCUCGCGCGGCGGAUACUCUUCCAAGCUCAGAAUCCUGUUCAGCAACUAGAAUUGAUCAUCGAACUGCUGGGUACCCCCUCUUUAGAAGAUAUGAAAUACGCGUGCGAAGGUGCCAAAACGCAUAUGCUUUCGAGAGCUCCAAAACCUCCCAGUUUGUCGGCGUUGUACACCUUAUCGUCUCAAGCCACGCAUGAAGUGGUACAUUUGUUGUGCCAGAUGUUGGUCUUCGAUCCGGACAAAAGAAUAUCGGUCGUCGAUGCAUUAGCACACCCUUAUUUAGAUGAAGGUAGGUUAAGGUAUCACUCAUGUAUGUGCAAGUGCUGCUAUACGACCGCUAGCGGUAUGAGACAAUAUACAUCAGAGUUUGAAUCCACCGCUCCCCAACCAUUUGAUGAUCACUGGGAGAGGAAACUUGAAACUGUACAGCAAGUCAAAGAGGAGCUGCAUAAAUUUAUAGCGGAGCAAUUGAACACGAGUCGAGUACCGUUGUGCAUCAAUCCUCAAUCGGCGGCAUUCAAGAGUUUCGCCAGGUAAGACGGCCGCCGCCAGCCCAGAUCCAGCGCAGCGCCAUUGCAUAGGUGACCAAAGUCUCCUUCCAUCCGCUGGUUUCCACUGUUGCCCACCAAUCGGAACUGCCUCCAUCGCCUCAUCAAUGGGACCGACCCACAGGCGCGACAGUUCACAGAUAACGCCCAUCUCCUUCAAACAAAUCUCUCUAAAUCCGUAUUAGGAUGUUUUCCCUCGUUACAUAGUUUGUAAGAUUUAACUCUAUACACCAAAUAUUAAUCAGGGAUUCUAUGCAAUGCAAAGACAAAAAAAAACAAUGGCGCUGCAGCAAAUGUGUGUGUUUUUGUGUAAUAUUUUUAGUCGCUCAUUUAAAAAAAUAUUGCAUUAAAAAUGAUUCAAAAUGUGUAGUCUAUUAAUAAUUUCAUCGCUGUGUCGAAAUUAAUACUAUUCAGUAAGUAAUGAUCAACAGUACAAUAUUGACAUUGAUUGUGGAAGGACAAUUUUUUGAAAUGUAAAACAGUCUCAUGCAUUUUAGUAACAUUGAGAUUAUCAUUACUUUCCGAAUAACAAGUUGUUUAGAAAAAAAAAAUCAAAAAUAAUAUUUGGAUAGAAAGCCUAAUGUACAAUACCGAUGGACUGUCAUUGCAAACGCAAAAAACAGUAGUUACGUAUGCAGGAUGCCCCUCAGAAACGUUUACGUACUUGAGCGGGACGCCCUACAUAUUAAAUUGUAGAUACAGUUGUACAGAUGUCACUGCCUUGAGUAGAAUAAUAGGUAGAUUAAACAGAUAGAGUAUUUGAUUUUUUUUUAAGACUGGCAGAAUUUCGUUUGAGAUCGAAGCAGUUUUUCCUUUUCAGAGUUGGAUGCGCCCUACCUUCUCCACUAAACUUGAUUAGGCUGCUCAGAGCUAAUUUGUUUUUUUUUUACUUCUUAUUUUUUAUAAGUAAUAACAAUUACAAUGCUGUGAUAAAUGAAUAGAACAAUUAGUAAUGAGAAAAAAUAUUUUUACUUUGUAUCUUUUAGACAGCCAAAUCAAGUAUCUUGUGAACUUUUUAAAAGUAAAAUAUAUGUGGUAUUUUACUUCGGCUCGAAUUUGACCUAAAACUAAAAUUACUUUUUGUUUAAAGUAAUAUCUAAACUGUUACUUACAAACCAAUAGUACAGUAUUCUAUUCAAAAUGUAACUUAUUCAGUCAGUUACCAUAAGAUUUGCAGCAAAUCUUAUUCCAUUGCAGUACCAUAGGAAGGUCUGAUGUGUUAUGUUUAUAUUAGAAUUUUCGUAAUGCGAAAAGCUUGUAGUAGAUAAAUAAAGAAAUUAUUUUUAUAUUAGAUUAAAAUUUUACAAAUAUUAAAAUAAAACAAUAACUUUUUAUUUUUUAAAAUCUAUGUAUCUCAAAUUGGCAUGGAACUUUGCUAAGCGGCUUGAUAAUGUUUGUUUGGAAAAGACUCGACCUAAACAUGUUAGACCUUCUCCAAAUUUGAAUCAGGAAAAACUGCAAAGAGGUCCGCCAAGUUUUGCAGACUCUGGUAGUUAAGGAGUAAGACUAAUAUAAGUUAAAGACUGUGAAUAGAUUAGCUAUUAUAGAAAUAAUACAAAUCUGCAGCUCUAUUUAAGAUACCUAUAGAUAAAAAUCAACAAAAAAAAAUUGCCAACUCUACGAAGUAGUUUAGUGUCUUCAGUGUGGUUAAAUAUGUGUGCAAUGAGGUAAAAUAGAGACUGUGAACAUAUUUGUUUAAAUAGUUAAUUUUUAUUUUAAUCCAAUUGUAAAUAAUUUUAAAUGAUAAUUGUGUAUUACUCCUAGAAAAUUUUAUUUAAGGUUUUGUUUAUGUACAUGAAACUAACUACUUCAUAACUAUUGACAGAGAAAUGGUGUUCCCAUUACCAGCAACCCUAAUUGUUCGCAGGUACUGCGGAUGAUUUGUCCGACUGCUAUUUUAUUUGCCAAAUAGCGACCAAUAUUAUUGACUGGCAAAUUAAGAAAUAUUUUUUACCGAUGCCUUUGGUAUUAGGAUAUUUUUGUAAAUAAUUUGAUUACUCCGCUAGGUUUAACGUUCUGCAUAAAAAUGUUUUUCUGAAUUAUUUAUCCCCCUUUCCUAAUUUUUAAAAUUUCACUUUAUACAUGCUUAAUGUCUUUUCUUCUUUGGAAUGCCUUUUAAGAUUAUUGUAAUUAUAUUCCAUUGAUUUUUCCAGCGAUCUCAGUGAUAUGCAUGUAAAUAGUAAAAGUGUACUUUUUUCAAUUAAUGGUCAGUCUGUGUUUACUUAGUAUACUCCAAUAUGAAAAGAAUAAA